CCCAAAUAUAAAGCAGAUUUGUUCCUAAAAAACAUUUUAAUUCAUAAGCUGCAAAUUUAAGUAGAGAAAUUAAGAAAAAUUCUUACCUUGUGAUCGGUGAUUUACGGGAAUAUUUGAUCGCAAACAGAAGGCCAAUUUCGUUAACAAGGGGCGAUACAAGUUAGAAAUUUAUGUGGGAUCGAUUUUAAGUUUUUAACGUGAGUGCUGGCGUAAAUUGACGCGCGAAAGAUCUAGAAGUCAUG
rnacentral:lncRNA from 1 species